AUGGAUCUGGGAGUGGAGGAGGAGACGGAGGGGAGAGAUGGAUCUGGGAGUGGAGGAGGAGGAGGGAGGGAGGGGAGAGAUGGAUCUGGGAGUGGAGGAGGAGGAGGGAGGGAGGGGAGAGAUGGAUCUGGGAGUGGAGGAGGAGACGGAGGGAGGGGAGAGAUGGAUCUGGGAGUGGAGGAGGAGACGGAGGGAGGGGAGAGAUGGAUCUGGGAGUGGAGGAGGAGACGGAGGGAGGGGAGAGAUGGAUCUGGGAGUGGAGGAGGAGACGGAGGGAGGGGAGAGAUGGAUCUGGGAGUGGAGGAGGAGACGGAGGGAGGGAGGGGAGAGAUGGAUCUGGGAGUGGAGGAGGAGGAGGGAGGGAGGGGAGAGAUGGAUCUGGGAGUGGAGGAGGAGGAGGGAGGGAGGGGAGAGAUGGAUCUGGGAGUGGAGGAGGAGGAGGGAGGGAGGGGAGAGAUGGAUCUGGGAGUGGAGGAGGAGACGGAGGGAGGGGAGAGAUGGAUCUGGGAGUGGAGGAGGAGACGGAGGGAGGGGAGAGAUGGAUCUGGGAGUGGAGGAGGAGACGGAGGGAGGGGAGAGAUGGAUCUGGGAGUGGAGGAGGAGACGGAGGGAGGGGAGAGAUGGAUCUGGGAGUGGAGGAGGAGACGGAGGGAGGGGAGAGAUGGAUCUGGGAGUGGAGGAGGAGACGGAGGGAGGGGAGAGAUGGAUCUGGGAGUGGAGGAGGAGACGGAGGCAGGGGAGAGAUGGAUCUGGGAGUGGAGGAGGAGACGGAGGGAGGGGAGAGAUGGAUCUGGGAGUGGAGGAGGAGACGGAGGGAGGGAGGGGAGAGAUGGAUCUGGGAGUGGAGGAGGAGACGGAGGGAGGGGAGAGAUGGAUCUGGGAGUGGAGGAGGAGACGGAGGGAGGGGAGAGAUGGAUCUGGGAGUGGAGGAGGAGACGGAGGGAGGGGAGAGAUGGAUCUGGGAGUGGAGGAGGAGACGGGGGAGGGGAGAGAUGGAUCUGGGAGUGGAGGAGGAGACGGGGGGAGGGGAGAGAUGGAUCUGGGAGUGGAGGAGGAGGGGAUGGAGGGAGAGGAGAGAUGGAUCUGGGAGUGGAGGAGGAGACGGAGGGAGGGAGAGGAGAGAAGGAUCUGGGAGUGGAGGAGGAGACGGAGGGAGGGGAGAGAUGGAUCUGGGAGUGGAGGAGGAGACGGAGGGAGGGAGAGGAGAGAUGGAUCUGGGAGUGGAGGAGGAGACGGAGGGAGGGGAGAGAUGGAUCUGGGAGUGGAGGAGGAGACGGGAUGGAGAGGAGAGAUGGAUCUGGGAGUGGAGGAGGAGACGGGAUGGAGGGAGAGGAGAGAUGGAUCUGGGAGUGGAGGAGGAGACGGAGGGAGGGGAGAGAUGGAUCUGGGAGUGGAGGAGGAGGAGGGAGGGGAGAGAUGGAUCUGGGAGUGGAGGAGGAGACGGGAGGGGAGAGUUGGAUCUGGGAGUGGAGGAGGAGACGGGAUGGAGGGAGAGGAGAGAUGGAUCUGGGAGUGGAGGAGGAGACGGGAUGGAGGGAGGGGAGAGAUGGAUCUGGGAGUGGAGGAGGAGACGGGAUGGAGGGAGAGGAGAGAUGGAUCUGGGAGUGGAGGAGGAGACGGGAUGGAGGGAGAGGAGAGAUGGAUCUGGGAGUGGAGGAGGAGACGGGAUGGAGGGAGAGGAGAGAUGGAUCUGGGAGUGGAGGAGGAGACGGAGGGAGGGGAGAGAUGGAUCUGGGAGUGGAGGAGGAGGAGGGAGGGGAGAGAUGGAUCUGGGAGUGGAGGAGGAGACGGGAGGGGAGAGAUGGAUCUGGGAGUGGAGGAGGAGACGGGAUGGAGGGAGAGGAGAGAUGGAUCUGGGAGUGGAGGAGGAGACGGGAUGGAGGGAGAGGAGAGAUGGAUCUGGGAGUGGAGGAGGAGACGGGAUGGAGGGAGAGGAGAGAUGGAUCUGGGAGUGGAGGAGGAGACGGGAUGGAGGGAGGGGAGAGAUGGAUCUGGGAGUGGAGGAGGAGACGGAGGGGAGAGAUGGAUCUGGGAGUGGAGGAGGAGACGGAGGGAGGGGAGAGAUGGAUCUGGGAGUGGAGGAGGAGACGGAGGGAGGGGAGAGAUGGAUCUGGGAGUGGAGGAGGAGACGGAGGGAGGGGAGAGAUGGAUCUGGGAGUGGAGGAGGAGGAGGGAGGGGAGAGAUGGAUCUGGGAGUGGAGGAGGAGACGGGAUGGAGGGAGAGGAGAGAUGGAUCUGGGAGUGGAGGAGGAGACGGGAUGGAGGGAGAGGAGAGAUGGAUCUGGGAGUGGAGGAGGAGACGGGAUGGAGGGAGGGGAGAGAUGGAUCUGGGAGUGGAGGAGGAGGAGGGAGGGGAGAGAUGGAUCUGGGAGUGGAGGAGGAGACGGGAUGGAGGGAGAGGAGAGAUGGAUCUGGGAGUGGAGGAGGAGACGGGAUGGAGGGAGAGGAGAGAUGGAUCUGGGAGUGGAGGAGGAGACGGGAUGGAGGGAGGGGAGAGAUGGAUCUGGGAGUGGAGGAGGAGGAGGGAGGGGAGAGAUGGAUCUGGGAGUGGAGGAGGAGACGGGAUGGAGGGAGGGGAGAGAUGGAUCUGGGAGUGGAGGAGGAGACGGGAUGGGAGAGAUGGAUCUGGGAGUGGAGGAGGAGGAGGGAGGGGAGAGAUGGAUCUGGGAGUGGAGGAGGAGACGGGAUGGAGGGAGGGGAGAGAUGGAUCUGGGAGUGGAGGAGGAGACGGGAUGGAGGGAGAGGAGAGAUGGAUCGGGGAGUGGAGGAGGAGACGGGAUGGAGGGAGGGGAGAGAUGGAUCUGGGAGUGGAGGAGGAGACGGGAUGGAGGGAGAGGAGAGAUGGAUCGGGGAGUGGAGGAGGAGACGGAGGGAGGGGAGAGAUGGAUCUGGGAGUGGAGGAGGAGACGGAAUGGAGGGAGAGGAGAGAUGGAUCUGGGAGUGGAGGAGGAGACAGGAUGGAGGGAGAGGGUGAUGGAUCUGGGAGUGGAGGAGGAGACGGAGGGAGGGGAGAGAUGGAUCUGGGAGUGGAGGAGGAGACGGGAUGGAGGGAGAGGAGAGAUGGAUCGGGGAGUGGAGGAGGAGACGGAGGGAGGGGAGAGAUGGAUCUGGGAGUGGAGGAGGAGACGGGAUGGAGGGAGAGGAGAGAUGGAUCUGGGAGUGGAGGAGGAGACGGGAUGGAGGGAGAGGAGAGAUGGAUCUGGGAGUGGAGGAGGAGACGGGAUGGAGGGAGAGGAGAGAUGGAUCUGGGAGUGGAGGAGGAGACGGAGGGAGGGGAGAGAUGGAUCUGGGAGUGGAGGAGGAGACGGGAUGGAGGGAGAGGAGAGAUGGAUCUGGGAGUGGAGGAGGAGACGGAGGGAGGGGAGAGAUGGAUCUGGGAGUGGAGGAGGAGACGGAGGGAGGGGAGAGAUGGAUCUGGGAGUGGAGGAGGAGACGGGAUGGAGGGAGAGGAGAGAUGGAUCGGGGAGUGGAGGAGGAGACGGGAUGGAGGGAGAGGAGAGAUGGAUCUGGGAGUGCAGGAGGAGACGGAGGGAGGGGAGAGAUGGAUCUGGGAGUGGAGGAGGAGACGGGAUGGAGGGAGAGGAGAGAUGGAUCGGGGAGUGGAGGAGGAGACGGAGGGAGGGGAGAGAUGGAUCGGGGAGUGGAGGAGGAGACGGGAUGGAGGGAGAGGAGAGAUGGAUCGGGGAGUGGAGGAGGAGACGGAAUGGAGGGAGAGGAGAGAUGGAUCUGGGAGUGCAGGAGGAGACAGGAUGGAGGGAGAGGGUGAUGGAUCUGGGAGUGGAGGAGGAGACGGAGGGAGGGGAGAGAUGGAUCUGGGAGUGGAGGAGGAGACGGGAUGGAGGGAGAGGAGAGAUGGAUCGGGGAGUGGAGGAGGAGACGGAGGGAGGGGAGAGAUGGAUCUGGGAGUGGAGGAGGAGACGGGAUGGAGGGAGAGGAGAGAUGGAUCUGGGAGUGGAGGAGGAGACGGGAUGGAGGGAGAGGAGAGAUGGAUCUGGGAGUGGAGGAGGAGACGGGAUGGAGGGAGAGGAGAGAUGGAUCUGGGAGUGGAGGAGGAGACGGAGGGAGGGGAGAGAUGGAUCUGGGAGUGGAGGAGGAGACGGAGGGAGGGGAGAGAUGGAUCUGGGAGUGGAGGAGGAGACGGGAUGGAGGGAGAGGAGAGAUGGAUCGGGGAGUGGAGGGAGGAGACGGGAUGGAGGGAGAGGAGAGAUGGAUCUGGGAGUGCAGGAGGAGACGGAGGGAGGGGAGAGAUGGAUCUGGGAGUGGAGGAGGAGACGGGAUGGAGGGAGAGGAGAGAUGGAUCGGGGAGUGGAGGAGGAGACGGAGGGAGGGGAGAGAUGGAUCGGGGAGUGGAGGAGGAGACGGGAUGGAGGGAGAGGAGAGAUGGAUCGGGGAGUGGAGGAGGAGACGGAAUGGAGGGAGAGGAGAGAUGGAUCUGGGAGUGCAGGAGGAGACGGAGGGAGGGGAGAGAUGGAUCUGGGAGUGGAGGAGGAGACGGGAUGGAGGGAGAGGAGAGAUGGAUCGGGGAGUGGAGGAGGAGACGGAGGGAGGGGAGAGAUGGAUCGGGGAGUGGAGGAGGAGACGGAAUGGAGGGAGAGGAGAGAUGGAUCGGGGAGUGGAGGAGGAGACGGAGGGAGGGGAGAGAUGGAUCUGGGAGUGGAGCAGGACACAGGAUGGAGGGAGAGGGUGAUGGAUCUGGGAGUGAGGAGGAGAAGGGGAUGGAGGGAGAGGGUGAUGGAUCUGGGAGUGAGGAGAAGGAGAAGAGGAUGGAGGGAGAGGGUGAUGGAUCUGGGAGUGGAGGAGGAGAAGGGGAUGGAGGGAGAGGGGGAUGGAUCUGGGAGUGGAGAAGGAGACAGGGAUGGAGGGAGAGGGUGA
ensembl:lncRNA